AACGAACGCUGGCGGCGUGGAUAAGACAUGCAAGUCGAACGGGACAGACCGAGUAGCAAUAUUUGGAAUGUUCAGUGGCGAACGGGUGCGUAACACGUGGAUAACAUUCCGGAAAGCGGGGAAUAGCCCAGGGAAACUUGGAUUAACACCGCAUGUGGCCGCAAGGCUAAAGACGGGGACCGCAAGGCCUGUCACUUUCCGAUUGGUCCGCGGCCUAUCAGCUAGUUGGCGGGGUAAUGGCCCACCAAGGCUACGACGGGUAGCUGGUCUUAGAGAACGACCAGCCACAUUGGGACUGAGACACGGUCCAGACACCUACGGGUGGCAGCAGUCGAGAAUCUUUCACAAUGGGGGCAACCCUGAUGGAGCGACGCCGCGUGGAGGAUAAGGUCUUCGGAUUGUAAACUCCUGUCAUGCGAGAACAAGGUACUCAGGCUAAUAACCUGAUUGUUUGAUGGUACCGCAAGAGGAAGAGACGGCUAACUCUGUGCCAGCAGCCGCCGUAAGAC
rnacentral:rRNA from 1 species